ensembl:Y_RNA Y_RNA Y RNA
GACUAGUCCAAAGGUAGUGAGUUGUCUCUACUAUUCAGUCAGUUACAGAUCAAUCUCCUUGUUCUAAUAUUUUUCCCACUUUUCACUACUGCAUUUGACACUCUAAC